AUAAUGGUCUUAAUAAAGACCAUAAUAAUUAUGUUGAAUGUUUUCU
rfam:Cavia porcellus supercont2_159 genomic scaffold, whole genome shotgun sequence.